AAAGGAAUAGACGGGGGCCCGCACAAGCAGUGGAGCAUGUGGUUUAAUUCGACGAUACGCGAAGAACCUUACCAGGGUUUGACAUUGAUACGAAAUAUUCAGAGAUGGAUAUGCUUUUCGGAGCGUAUUAACAGGUGCUGCAUGGCUGUCGUCAGCUCGUGCCGUGAGGUGUUGGGUUAAGUCCCGCAACGAGCGCAACCCUUAUCAUCAGUUGCCAUCGGGUAAAGCCGGGGACUCUGUUGAGACUGCCGUCAUAAGACGGAGGAAGGUGGGGAUGACGUCAAGUCAGCAUGGCCCUUACGUCCUGGGCUACACACGUGCUACAAUGGUCGGUACAGAGGGCAGCGAAGUCGCGAGGCGUAGCGAAUCCCAGAAAGCCGGCCUCAGUUCGGAUUGGAGGCUGCAACCCGCCUCCAUGAAGUCGGAAUUGCUAGUAACCGCAGAUCAGCGACGCUGCGGUGAAUACGUUCCCGGGCCUUGCACACACCGCCCGU
rnacentral:rRNA from 1 species